UGGGGAAUAUUGCACAAUGGGGGAAACCCUGAUGCAGCGACGCCGCGUGAGCGAAGAAGGUUUUCGAAUCGUAAAGCUCUGUCCUAUGAGAAGAUAAUGACGGUAUCAUAGGAGGAAGCCCCGGCUAAAUACGUGCCAGCAGCCGCGGUAAUACGUAGGUGGCAAGCGUUGUCCGGAUUUACUGGGCGUAAAGCGCACGUAGGCGGACUUUUAAGUCAGGGGUGAAAUCCCGGGGCUCAACCCCGGAACUGCCUUUGAUACUGGAAGUCUUGAGUAUGGUAGAGGUGAGUGGAAUUCCGAGUGUAGAGGUGAAAUUCGUAGAUAUUCGGAGGAACAACAGUGGCGAAGGCGGCUCACUGGACCAUUACUGACGCUGAGGUGCGAAAGCGUGGGGAGCAAACAGG
rnacentral:rRNA from 1 species